GGAAGGGUAAGUUAAGUUUAAACUCUGUGGCUCAUGCUCACAAAAUACAUUUUGUCGCUUCCU
rnacentral:tRNA from 1 species